GAUGAACGCUGGCGGCGUGCCUAACACAUGCAAGUCGAACGAAGCACCUUACCUGAUUCUUCGGAUGAAAGUUUGGUGACUGAGUGGCGGACGGGUGAGUAACGCGUGGGUACCUGCCCUGUACAGGGGGAUAACAGCUGGAAACGGCUGCUAAUACCGCAUAAGCGCACGAGGAGACAUCUCCUUGUGUGAAAAACUCCGGUGGUACAGGAUGGGCCCGCGUCUGAUUAGCUGGUUGGCAGGGUAACGGCCUACCAAGGCAACGAUCAGUAGCCGGUCUGAGAGGAUGAACGGCCACAUUGGAACUGAGACACGGUCCAAACUCCUACGGGAGGCAGCAGUGGGGAAUAUUGCACAAUGGGGGAAACCCUGAUGCAGCAACGCCGCGUGAGUGAAGAAGUAUUUCGGUAUGUAAAGCUCUAUCAGCAGGGAAGAUAAUGACGGUACCUGACUAAGAAGCUCCGGCUAAAUACGUG
rnacentral:rRNA from 1 species